CCCUGGAGGUGUUGUGGGCAGCUGCAGGGAUGAGGUGCCAGCUGUGCCCUGGCAGGGCUCUCUGUGUCAGGUGCCAACCUCCUCGCCUGCUCCUCUCCGUGGACUUGUGACGGGUUUCAUCAAACCCAGGGCACCGCUUCCAUCAGGGGAAGCAGCACACAGGAUAGAGAUGAAGCUUCACCUGUGUCUGUGGAUAAACUGCCGUGAAUGUGGGUGACAACUAAGCAGGAAUUCUGUUGGGAGAGUGAAAGGAAAAGGUCCAGCUGGAUCCAGCUUCAGGUGUGACCAAAGGUGACCCCUGGGCUGAGGCUGCAGGAAGGUUUGGGCUGGAAUUUGUUUUCGUGGAACGGGUGAAGACCUUUGGAAAAGAACUUUUGUCAAGGAAACAAACUGUGUAUAAGUAUAUACUCAAACAGGGAGUUUCUGAGAGUGCAGACAGGCUCUUCCCUUUGUUUUCUCAGAAGGAAACAAAGCUCUAAUUAUUUAAAGUUGUGUAAAAUGCCCCCCUACGAACUGUUGGGGGGAAUUUAUUCCAAGUUCAAAGUCAAAAUUAAGUCUUGAAAGCUUGUUGGUUGUCCCUCUGCCCUUUUCAUGUGCACGUUGCUGGGGAGUCUGGGAACUAAAAAUAAAUGGAAAUGUUUUGCAGGAUAGAUAUCCGAGUAUCUUAUCAAACUGGAAAUAAAUUUUAAGUAACAUUUUUGCAGAGUACAGUUUUUUCUUAACAAAAAAACCCCCGAAAUCUGGUCACUGGGCCGAUCAUACUUUUAGGAUUUAAAAAAGAAAGUCAAACAGCUUUAAAAAUGGAUGUGGUUGUGUCACUGAAAUUUAAGGGUUUUGUUGUCCACGUGCUGACACAGUGGGUGUGGAAUCCCUCCUGGAAUCCUUAAAGGAGUGGAGCAGGAAAAGCUGUCUGAGCCCUGCUUACUGUGCUGGGAGCUGCUCUGUGGCAUCCCUGGAAGAUUAAAAUAUUCUCCAUUUCUCACUGUGCUCUCUGGGUUUUAAGGCUGAAGUACAAAGACAUGCACGUUGUGAGUAAUCAGUUCAUGUUGCAUUUUUGGACACAGUUCACAUAUUCCUCCAAUUUCUUCAUUGCUCAGAGUAAUUUGUUGUUAAUUAUGUGAAAAGGAAGUUCCACACAUGGUUUAAUAUUAAAUAUUAAAACUCUUUAGAGGAACUCUU